CUCCUACGGGAGGCAGCAGUGAGGAAUAUUGGUCAAUGGACGAGAGUCUGAACCAGCCAAGUCGCGUGAAGGAAGACGGAUCUAUGGUUUGUAAACUUCUUUAGUGCGGGAACAAAGCGGCGUCGUGACGCCGGAUGAGUGUACCGCAAGAAUAAGCAUCGGCUAACUCCGUGCCAGCAGCCGCGGUAAUACGGAGGAUGCGAGCGUUAUCCGGAUUUAUUGGGUUUAAAGGGAGCGCAGGCUGCGAGGCAAGUCAGCGGUCAAAUGUCGGGGCUCAACCCCGGCCUGCCGUUGAAACUGUCUUGCUAGAGUUCGAGUGAGGUAUGCGGAAUGCGUUGUGUAGCGGUGAAAUGCAUAGAUAUGACGCAGAACUCCGAUUGCGAAGGCAGCAUACCAACUCGCGACUGACGCUGAGGCUCGAAAGCGUGGGUAUCGAACAGGAUUAGAUACCCUGGUAGUCCACGCAGUAAACGAUGAAUACUAACUGUUCGGAGGGCGACCUCUGAGUGGUAAAGCGAAAGCGUUAAGUAUUCCACCUGGGGAGUACGCCGGCAACGGUGAAACUCAAAGGAAUUGACGGGGGCCCGCACAAGCGGAGGAACAUGUGGUUUAAUUCGAUGAUACGCGAGGAACCUUACCCGGGCUCAAACGUCGGGCGAACCAUCCUGAAAGGGGUGGGCCAGCAAUGGCGGCCGACGAGGUGCUGCAUGGUUGUCGUCAGCUCGUGCCGUGAGGUGUCGGCUUAAGUGCCAUAACGAGCGCAACCCCCGCGUCCAGUUGCCAGCGAGUAGAGUCGGGCACUCUGGACGGACUGCCGGCGCAAGCCGCGAGGAAGGCGGGGAUGACGUCAAAUCAGCACGGCCCUUACGUCCGGGGCGACACACGUGUUACAAUGGCGUGGAACAGAGGGAAGCCACCUGGCGACAGGGAGCGGAACCCGAAAACACGUCUCAGUUCGGAUUGGAGUCUGCAACUCGACUCCAUGAAGCUGGAUUCGCUAGUAAUCGCGCAUCAGCCAUGGCGCGGUGAAUACGUUCCCGGGCCUUGUACACACCGC
rnacentral:rRNA from 1 species